UACGUAGGUGGCAAGCGUUGUCCGGAUUUAUUGGGCGUAAAGCGAGCGCAGGCGGUUCCUUAAGUCCGAUGUGAAAGCCCCCGGCGCAACCUGGGAAGGUCAUUGGAAACUGGGGAACUUGAGUGCAGAAGAGGAGAGUGGAAUUCCAUGUGUAGCGGUGAAAUGCGUAGAUAUAUGGAGGAACACCAGUGGCGAAGGCGCCUCUCUGGUCUGUAACUGACGCUGAGGCUCGAAAGCGUGGGUAGCAAACAGG
rnacentral:rRNA from 1 species